rnacentral:rRNA from 1 species
GACGAACGCUGGCGGCGUGCUUAACACAUGCAAGUCGAACGGAAAGGCCCUGCUUUUGUGGGGUGCUCGAGUGGCGAACGGGUGAGUAACACGUGAGUAACCUGCCCUUGACUUUGGGAUAACUUCAGGAAACUGGGGCUAAUAUCGGAUAGGAGCUCCUGCUGCAUGGUGGGGGUUGGAAAGUUUCGGCGGUUGGGGCUGGACUCGCGGCUUAUCAGCUUGUUGGUGGGGUAGUGGCUUACCAAGGCUUUGACGGGUAGCCGGCCUGAGAGGGUGACCGGCCACAAUGGGACUGAGAUACGGCCCAGACUCCUACGGGAGGCAGCAGUGGGGAAUAUUGCACAAUGGGCGGAAGCCUGAUGCAGCAACGCCGCGUGCGGGAUGACGGCCUUCGGGUUGUAAACCGCUUUCGCCUGUGACGAAGCGUGAGUGACGGUAAUGGGUAAAGAAGCACCGGCUAACUACGUG